rnacentral:misc_RNA from 1 species
CAGAGCGUGAGACUCGGCCCGGGCCUGUCCCGUGUGUCGAGUCGACCCUCCACCCGUGUUGACUUUAUCUGUUGCUUUGGCGGGCCAGGUGCCUGGCGCCGACCGGCUUCGUGCUGGCUCGCGUCCGCCAAAGACCCAACCUAACUCGUGUUGUCGUGUAGUCUGAGGAAGAAAUAUUGAAUUGUUA